UACGGAGGGGGCCAGCGUUGUUCGGAAUCAUUGGGCGUAAAGGGCGCGUAGGCGGCCGAGCAAGUCGGAUGUGAAAUGCCCCGGCUCAACUGGGGACUGGCAUCCGAUACUGCUUGGCUCGAGUCCUGGAGAGGGUAGUGGAAUUCCCAGUGUAGCGGUGAAAUGCGUAGAUACUGGGAGGAACACCGGUGGCGAAGGCGGCUACCUGGACAGGUACUGACGCUGAGGCGCGAAAGCUAGGGGAGCAAACAGGAUUAGAUACCCUGGUAGUCCUAGCUGUAAACGAUGGGCACUUGGUGUUGCGGGUAUCGACCCCUGCAGUGCCGAAGCUAACGCAUUAAGUGCCCCGCCUGGGGAGUACGGUCGCAAGGCUGAA
rnacentral:rRNA from 1 species